rnacentral:rRNA from 1 species
AACGAACGCUGGCGGCAUGCCUAACACAUGCAAGUCGAACGAGACCUUCGGGUCUAGUGGCGCACGGGUGCGUAACGCGUGGGAACCUGCCCUUAGGUUCGGAAUAACUCCCCGAAAGGGGUGCUAAUACCGGAUAAUGUCUUCGGACCAAAGGUUUAUCGCCUUUGGAUGGGCCCGCGUUGGAUUAGCUAGUUGGUAGGGUAAAAGCCUACCAAGGCGACGAUCCAUAGCUGGUCUGAGAGGAUGAGCAGCCACACUGGGACUGAGACACGGCCCAGACUCCUACGGGAGGCAGCAGUGGGGGAUAUUGGACUGUCGGCGAAAGCCUGAUCCAGCAAUGCCGCGUGAGUGAUGAAGGCCUUAGGGUUGUAAAGCUCUUUUACCCGGGAUGAUAAUGACAGUACCGGGAGAAUAAGCUCCGGCUAACUCCGUG